UUGCAUGUUUUGGCCAUGAGCCAUUAUUGGCCUCUCUAUCACUAUAGAGUGGACAAGUACAAACAUGCUAGAAUAAGACUUAAAACAUGUGGGAGUUGACAGGGCCACCAGUCUUUCAAGGUCAGACUGAGUUGGUAGUAUAAUACUCCAACACCU
rnacentral:snoRNA from 1 species